rnacentral:rRNA from 1 species
GAUCUCUUAAAGCCGUUCUCAGUUCGGACUGUAGGCUGCAACUCGCCUACACGAAGCUGGAAUCGCUAGUAAUCGCGAAUCAGCAUGUCGCGGUGAAUACGUUCCCGGGUCUUGUACACACCGCCCGUCACACCAUGGGAGUUGGCAACGCCCGAAGCCAGUGACCCAACCGAGAGGAGGGAGCUGUCGAAGGCGGGGCCGGUAACUGGGGUGAAGUCGUAACAAGGUAGC